ACUGGUGCCCGGACCGCGUGGGGGCGGGGGGGGGGGAGAGGAAGAAAACAAAAACCCCCGACGAGUUCCAUGAGACCUGCUUUUGGAUAACGGCUGGAAUCAAAUGUAAAGAAACAACACUGGAGUGAAAACAACUAACAACCAAGGGCGGAGACAACACAGACCACACGACGCAGGAGGCCUGGGGAAAUCAUUAACCGCACACAAACACAUACAAUAUGACUGGCUGGAUCCCACUCCACCCUCCGUGCCCUUGAGACUGACAUCCACCGCCAGCCCCGGCCCUAGUGCCUGCAGAUUUACACCAACAGGACCUCCAACAACCUUCCAUAUCCUGCAGUGUCACAGCAGCCUCGAAGGGGGGCGACUCCUUCUGGAGACCCCACUUCCUCCAGAAGCCCCAGGGACGGGACCAUGUUUCACUGACUGA
rnacentral:lncRNA from 1 species